rnacentral:rRNA from 1 species
GGACUACUAGGGUAUCUAAUCCUGUUUGCUACCCACGCUUUCGUGUCUCAGCGUCAGUUACCGUCCAGAUAGCCGCCUUCACCACAGGUGUUCCUCCUGAUAUCUACGCAUUUCACCGCUACACCAGGAAUUCCGCUAUCCUCUCCGGCACUCAAGCCUUCCAGUUUUCGGCGCACCCUCCCAGUUAAGCCGGGAGAUUUCACACCAAACUUAGAAAACCGCCUACCCACUCUUUACGCCCAGUAAUUCCGAACAACGCUCGCUGCCUACGUAUUACCGCGGCGGCUGGCAC